UGGGUAUCCAAAAACUUGUUAUAGCAUUGAAUUACGAUUUUAUCACCAUUAUCUUGGAUUACGAGGUUUCAUAUUGCAGCCAAACAACAGAUGCAACAAACAUAAACAAGUUUUAUUUUUAUACCAAGCAACGUAACUAGAACAAGAAUUCGUGGUAUAGCUGGUGGAAAUUCCCAUGCCUGUCAAAAUUAAAUCUAGGAUAUAAAUUUUAUUGCUUUUGAAAAAUGAGCUCCUCUAUGUACAAGAUCCUUGAGUGAAAAUGGGAGAAGGAAAUUAAAAUAGUCCUUGCUUUGCUGCCGAAAUAUUUAAAGGUGCUGGAGUAAUGCAACAGUCCAUCUAUGAAUACUAGUGAAAAAAUCUUUACACUUCAUUUUUGCUACACAAAUCACGGUUUUUGUGAAUGCAGUCAAGUUGCUAACGUAAAAUACUAAAAAUAAAUAAAAUUAAAUAGAUGUGUCUUAGAAGCCGAGAAAAUACCAUCUGAACGUUACCCACGAAUUUUGGUCUGUACACUUUUGGAUACUGGCAAGAAACAAACGAAGAAGUUGUUACCAUAGGUCUAGACCAAUUACCCAGUGUUGAACAUGAUUUUCCAACAGAAGUGUUUGGAGUAAAACUUGACUUUCUGGCAAAAAAAGAAAAAGAAAGUAUGACCCCACGUACUCGCCAGAUGUUAACCCAUUUGACUUCCCUUUUUGGAUGUAUGUUGAGUCCAAGGCCUGCACCGUCCGUCACCCAAAUAUAAGCAACCUCAAGUACACCGUCAACCAGCACUGGGAUACCAUAUCUAAGGACUAUAUCUGGAAUGGGUGCAAGGCCUUUCGUUGCCGCCUGGAAGCCAUCAUUGCUGCUAAGGGGGGCUACAUCAAUGAUGACGGUAGCCAAGACAUUAUACUAGUUAUUUUUUUGACAUACCUUAUUACAACUGGUUGCUGAAAUACAUGUUGAUAAAGUUCUA
rnacentral:lncRNA from 1 species